ACAGGUAAUGGAUAUUGAAGCCAUUUGUUUUAUGCUCUGCUCCAGGAAAAUAGAUUUAAUGGGCUUUAUAACAUUCUGUACUAGAAUUUGAUGAUGUUACAAAGUAAUGGGCUGAUAAUCAAAAGUACAACAAAACCGAGGACUUAUAUUAAAAAAAGUGAGAAACUUUAGUUACCUUUUGAAGAGUUUGAAAGCUGCUUGCUUGCUCUAGGGUUUGUGCAGUUCAGUGUUCAGCUCUCACUCUCUGCUUCAUUGUAGAAGCAAAAUGUAUAGCGGGUCUAGCGAUGGCGAAAGCCACGAUACACCUAACCAGAGGAAGCUCCCCCCCGGCGUCUUCGAUGCUCUGGGUUAGAAAUCUACGACCCGGAGCCGGAUUAGGAUCCGAAGCGCUAAUGGGUAUUGUUUGUCAUAAACUCCUGUUGAGUUUUGGAGCUCGUGUUGUGUGUUCUAAAACGAAGCUUGAGAUCAAGAGAAUCUUGUUCGAGAUAUUUAAAGAAAAGCAACUGAAAAGCCAAGAAUCAGGCACGAUACCUAGUUUCUACAAGAAGUUACACACUUGGUAAACGUUUGGAGAACAAAGACACUCCAGAGGGAGAGGCUUUCUCACCACUGCUGAUAUUCACUCUCUUUUCAGAGAUUUUCACCAGAAAUGGAUAGAAGGUGGGAACUAUGAGCUGUGCAUAGAGGACGUCCAUGACGAGAUCUGGGACAUGGUGUAGCCGUAUGACCCGUUAAAGAUCACUCUGAAUGAUCUCUUGGUAUGUAAACAAGGUGGAAAAUGUUGCCAGCGUGCUAAUAGAUGUGCGUGGCUUCUGGGCUCAUGACAACCGUGAGAACCUUCUUCAAGAAGAAGAAGAAGAAGAAGAAGAAGAGCCACCUGAGGAAGAGUCCCAGUGAUAUAACUGUGAUCUUUCAUGUCUAUAUAACUAAAAAAAAAUGCUAAUCAUAGUAGGCAAGAUAGGUCGGAGAAAGACCAAAAGUCUCCUCUAGUCUCAACCCUCGUUUUUGUAUGUAUUCUGUGUAAAAAGCUUAUUAGUUGCUGACCUUUAUUUAAUUUGUAUUCUGUGUAAGAUAUUUGUUGACGAUUAUAUGGUAAGAAAAUGGAUGUGUAAUAUAUUACUUUUGUCUUCU